ACGGAUACGCAUGACUACGAAGUCAAAAUGCGCAACGUGUACAAGUUCCUAGAGAACGGCGACAAAGUCAAAGUGACCUUACGCUUCCGUGGACGCGAAAUGGCGCACCAAAACUUGGGCCGCGAGCUUCUUGAACGUGUGGCAGCGGACACCAAAGAGAUGGGCAAAGUUGAAAACAUGCCCAAAAUGGAAGGCCGCCAAAUGAUCAUGCUGAUCGGCCCCCUGCCCAAGUAAAGCUUGGCAAACCAUUGAAUUCUAAGAAACCCCGCCAUCUCGCGGGGUUUUUUCUUGGAAACGUGCCGCAGGCAACAAAAGCCCCAAUCCUAGGAUCGGGGC
rnacentral:misc_RNA from 1 species